rnacentral:rRNA from 1 species
UACGGAGGGUGCGAGCGUUAUUCGGAAUUAUUGGGCGUAAAGGGCGCGUAGGCGGCUCUUUAAGUCAAAGGUGAAAUCCCUCGGCUCAACUGAGGAACUGCCUUUGAAACUGAGGAGCUUGAGUCCGGGAGGGGGUAGCGGAAUUCCCAGUGUAGCGGUGAAAUGCGUAGAUAUUGGGAGGAACACCAGUGGCGAAGGCGGCUACCUGGACCGGAACUGACGCUGAGGCGCGAAAGCGUGGGUAGCAAACAGG